AGAUUGCUGCUGCUGUUGGCAUCGCAAAGGAAAAGACUGUAGGGAAAAGCAAAACAAUAUUUACUGGACUACUUGUCACAUUUUAAUUAGUAUCCAGAGAUGAUGGAACACUUCAGCUGUGCUAGGAAAAUGCCUGUUUCUUGGGUUUGGAGAAUAAAAGCUAAGAACUUGCUGCAGGAGAGAGAAUCCUCUGCCUGCACGUACUGCAGUCUUCAUGAGCUUCCUGUGAUGUUGCUGUGAAUCCUGGGAGUAAUCAGUAUUAGCCUGGUCUCUUGUGCAGCAGGAUACAAAUUAUUCUUUCUGGGGUGGCGGAGACACGGUUGAUCUGCUGGCUGCCAGAACAUUAUCUUUUGCUGAAAGCAGAAGCACAGUUCAGUUCAAUUAACAGGGACUGCCCUUUGACUGCGUGUGUGCACAUUUUGGAGGGCUCAGUGGAAACCAGUGGGCAGCAGUGACAGUGCUCUCUGGAAAAGGGCUGAAUCAAAUUAGGGAGUUUUCUUUUUCAGAACUUGUUCAGUGAGAUCAAACUUCAUGCUUCGCUUUUGAAAUGGACUGAAGGAAAUAAACCUUGUUUCUUUGGUUGACCAAAGUCAGUAUUUAGUUAGGGAAAGGACAUUAUUGUAUUUACUCCUAUUUUUGGAGUAUUAUUCAUUCCACAGGACAAGUCAGGACAGAUCACUGAGGGUAAAGUUGAAGUUAUGAAUUUCUCUGCCUUUACCAGCUAGGAAUUAAGAUCAGAGUUUGGCUGUUUCACAACAUAACUGACAUCAUGCCACAGCAAAAUUCCCUACAGCAAGCCAACAUUCAGCAGCUGCGAAAGAAGUGGGGGGAAUUUGGAGUAAAGAGAAAUGAUGUGACAUGGUGGCCUAGAUUCCUAAAUUAGAAUGAGCUAGGGAAGGAAACAAAAUUAUUUUGUGCCUUUCCAGUGUGUGGACAAGAACUUGAGGCCUGAGAAGAUGACAAUUACUGUUUUGUACACAGUUUAAGAUGGUUAAAAAUGUAACCAGAAUGGU